GCUGUGCUCACCCCAAGGGUCUCUGACUGCCUGGCUGCCUGGCCCAGGGCUUUGCUUUUCUGACACACUCCAUAAAUGCUGAUGCUGCAGUUCCAGCCUCCUCAGGGUGGCCCUGGCCGAUGGCCCUGCAGGCCCUGCUGCCCCGUUGGCUGGCUUCUCCUGCCCUUCUCUUUGGAACUGUCGUCUGUGGAGGCCGAGCAGCCAGACAUGCUCUGUGCUUGCGCCAAAAUCUCCUGACUCAGCACUGCCCGUGGACUCCGGACUCCGGCAGAGCCCCAGGGAGGAGGAGGGCACGGCCUGGACAGGCCAGGCCGGUUCUGCGGGGUGGCUGGUGACCCAUGGAGAGCCGCUUGGGCCCGUCCCUCAGGUCGGUCUGCAGGUGAUGAGCGGGUGCAGCCAACCCAGCCUCUUAGAGAGGAUGCGGGGGUGGGUGCCUGAGUUAAUCACCAAUUGGAGCCGGGCUGCUGUUCCCAUGGUGACUGCACACGGAGCCCCGUGCCCUCGGCUCUCACCUCCUCCCAUCCGUUGCAACCUCCAUUAAACAGAAACAAAAGAUUAAUAUGGCAGAAGCCAUUUAAUGAACUCGUGCUGGCAGCGGCUGCUAGCUUUUUACUGGAACCAUGACGAAGAAGCCUCUCCGCCUCUUCCAGGAGAGCACAGGGGCUCCUGGCAUCUGACCUCGCCUGUUGUCAGACAGCAGUGGUGCAGAGGUGCUCCGGUUUGGGGGACACCCCUUUCCUUUCUCUCCGUAUGGUGGAAGUCAUUUUAUCUCUCCACACAGCCUGAGGCCCUGGCUCCAGACGAGACACAGAUCUGCAAGCCCAGGGGUGCAAAACCCUCUGCUCGCCAGGAAGCAAUGACAAGGUCAAGCUGUGAUGUACCACACCAGGAAAGUCCCCAAGCUCCUGAACCUGCCCUCUGCCCCGACACCAAGGCUCUCUGCAGUGUCCCCUGAGCUCAGCACCUGCACUCAGCCACUCAGCUGCUUCCAGGUACUGUUAGGUAGCAGUCUACUCUGUCCUUUCCCUGCCGUCCCCUCCCCACUUCAGCAAUCGGGUCCACAUGCUGAACAGGCCAGCAGAUCUCACCUCCAGAUACAGUUGGUGGGGACACUGCUGCAAAGGCAGAUGUGUGUGCAC
rnacentral:lncRNA from 1 species